rnacentral:rRNA from 1 species
UACGUAGGUGGCAAGCGUUGUCCGGAUUUAUUGGGUUUAAAGGGUGCGUAGGCGAUCAAGUAAGUCAGCGGUGAAAUCCGGCAGCUCAACUGUCGAUGUGCCAUUGAUACUGCAUGACUUGAGUACUGAUGAGGUAGGCGGAAUUGACGGUGUAGCGGUGAAAUGCUUAGAUAUCGUCAAGAACACCGAUAGCGAAGGCAGCUUACUAAGCAGUAACUGACGCUGAUGCACGAAAGUGUGGGGAUCAAACAGG